UUGACGGGGCCGCACAAGCGGUGGAGUAUGUGGAUUAAUUCGAUGCAACGCGAAAACCUUACCUACGCUUGACAUGUCAGGAACCUCGAAGAGAUUUGAGGGUGCCGAAAGGGAACCUGAACACAGGUGCUGCAUGGCUGUCGUCAGCUCGUGUCGUGAGAUGUUGGGUUAAGUCCCGCAACGAGCGCAACCCUUAUCAUUAGUUGCUACGCAAGGGCACUCUAAUGAGACUGCCGGUGACAAACCGGAGGAAGGUGGGGAUGACGUCAAGUCCUCAUGGCCCUUAUGCGUAGGGCUUCACACGUCAUACAAUGGUCGGUACAGAGGGUUGCCAACCCGCGAGGGGGGAGCCAAUCCCACAAAGCCGAUCGUAGUCCGGAUUGCAGUCUGCAACUCGACUGCAUGAAGUCGGAAUCGCUAGUAAUCGCGGAUCAGCAUGUCGCGGUGAAUACGUUCCCGGGUCUU
rnacentral:rRNA from 1 species